rnacentral:rRNA from 1 species
AACGAACGCUGGCGGCAUGCCUAACACAUGCAAGUCGAACGAGACCUUCGGGUCUUGUGGCGCACGGGUUCGUAACGCGUGGGAACCUGCCCUUAGGUUCGGCAUAACUCCCCGAAAGGGGUGCUAAUACCGGAUAAUGUCUUCGGACCAAAGAUUUAUCGCCUUUGGAUGGGCCCGCGUUGGAUUAGCUAGUUGGUAGGGUAAAAGCCUACCAAGGCGACGAUCCAUAGCUGGUCUGAGAGGAUGAGCAGCCACACUGGGACUGAGACACGGCCCAGACUCCUACGGGAGGCAGCAGUGGGGAAUAGUGGAAAGUGGGCGAAGGGCUGAUCCAGCAAUGCCGGGUGAGUGAUGAAGGCCGUAGGGUUGUAAAGCUCUUUUACCCGGGAUGAUAAUGACAGUACCGGGAGAAUAAGCUCCGGCUAACUCCGUG